UACGGAGGGUGCAAGCGUUAUCCGGAUUCACUGGGUUUAAAGGGUGCGUAGGAGGGCAGGGAAGUCAGUGGUGAAAUCUCCGAGCUUAACUCGGAAACUGCCGUUGAUACUCUCUGUCCUGAAUACCGUGGAGGUGAGCGGAAUAUGUCAUGUAGCGGUGAAAUGCUUAGAUAUGACAUAGAACACCAAUUGCGAAGGCAGCUCGCUACACGAAUAUUGACUCUGAGGCACGAAAGCGUGGGGAUCAAACAGG
rnacentral:rRNA from 1 species